rnacentral:rRNA from 1 species
UACUCCUACGGGAGGCAGCAGUGGGGAAUAUUGGACAAUGGGCGCAAGCCUGAUCCAGCCAUGCCGCGUGAGUGAUGAAGGCCCUAGGGUUGUAAAGCUCUUUCACCGGUGAAGAUAAUGACGGUAACCGGAGAAGAAGCCCCGGCUAACUUCGUGCCAGCAGCCGCGGUAAUACGAAGGGGGCUAGCGUUGUUCGGAAUUACUGGGCGUAAAGCGCACGUAGGCGGAUUGUUAAGUUAGGGGUGAAAUCCCAGGGCUCAACCCUGGAACUGCCUUUAAUACUGGCAAUCUAGAGUCCGAGAGAGGUGAGUGGAAUUCCGAGUGUAGAGGUGAAAUUCGUAGAUAUUCGGAGGAACACCAGUGGCGAAGGCGGCUCACUGGCUCGGUACUGACGCUGAGGUGCGAAAGCGUGGGGGGCAAACAGGAUUAGAUACCCUGGUAGUC